GGAACUAGUGAUCCGUACGUCAAGUUCAAACUUGGAGGAAAAGAAGUAUUUAGAAGUAAAACGAUACACAAGAACCUCAAUCCUGUGUGGGAAGAAAAAGCUUGCAUUCUUAUAGAUAACCCAAGAGAACCAUUGUAUAUAAAGGUCUUUGACUAUGACUUCGGACUUCAAGAUGACUUUAUUGGUUCAGCAUUUUUGGAUCUCACUUCAUUGGAGUUAAACAGGCAAACAGAUGUUACCUUGAGUCUGAAGGAUCCUCAUUACCCUGAUCAUGAUCUCGGAAGUAUAUUUUUGUCAGUUCUGUUGGCUCCUAGAGAAGAACAGCGAGAAGUG